rnacentral:rRNA from 1 species
AGGGAGCUUGACUGUGAGACCGACGGGUCGAGCAGGGACGAAAGUCGGGACUAGUGAUCCGGCGGUGGCUUGUGGAAGCGCCGUCGCUCAACGGAUAAAAGGUACCCCGGGGAUAACAGGCUGAUCUUCCCCAAGAGUCCAUAUCGACGGGAUGGUUUGGCACCUCGAUGUCGGCUCGUCGCAUCCUGGGGCUGGAGUCGGUCCCAAGGGUUGGGCUGUUCGCCCAUUAAAGCGGUACGCGAGCUGGGUUUAGAACGUCGUGAGACAGUUCGGUCCCUAUCCGCUGUGCGCGUAGGAGUCUUGAGAAGGGCUGUCCCUAGUACGAGAGGACCGGGACGGACGAACCUCUGGUGUGCCAGUUGUUCUGCCAAGGGCAUGGCUGGUUGGCUACGUUCGGGAGGGAUAACCGCUGAAAGCAUCUAAGCGGGAAGCCUGCUUCGAGAUGAGGACUCCCACCCCCUUGAGGGGGUAAGGCUCCCAGUAGACGACUGGGUUGAUAGGCCGGAUCUGGAAGCCAGGUAACUGGUGGAGGUGACCGGUACUAAUAGGCCGAGGGCUUGUCCUC